rnacentral:lncRNA from 1 species
GGCCACGUUCUGAGGAGAAAAAUCACGCUCAACCUACGGCGGGCGUGAUCAAUAUGAUUUCAUUGGGCCCAUGACUCCAGAGGGCAGACGACUUCGAAAGCACCUCCAAGUGCCAGUGGGCAAACAACGACAUCAUUUUCACUAAGGAAGAUCUAUGAGGAGUUCAGACUCCUAUAAUGAUGCUGUUGUUAUAUCAAUGAUAGUAGCUAAUUAUGAUGUAAAACGAUGUCUUGUUGAUAAUGAAAGUUUUACUGAUGUAAUUUUUUAUGACUGUUUUUUCUGAAUGUAACUUUCUACUAGCCUUCUCAAAUCAGUCAACAUUUCUCUAGUCAGGUUCACUGGCGACUUGAUGAAAGUAGAAGGAGAAAUUGAACUCCC